rnacentral:lncRNA from 1 species
CAGCACAUGAAGCAAACCUUAAAUAUUUUAAGUAGAGAAAUUUGAUAGGGUACUAAACAGAAAUUUCAAAUGUAAAAGGAUACAGCUCUGUAGGAAAGGUGAAAUGGAAAUAUGAGUUUAAGAAGGAAAAGGAAAGUUGGAAAUUUCUGGCAUGUAUUUAUAGAUGAUGAUGGAUAUCAAGUAAUUUUGAUCUUUAAAGUCAAUCAAAAUUAUAACGUUUAAAACUUUUUUUUAUACACUUAUUUAUUUAUUUUUAUGUGGUGUUAAGGAUCAAACCCAGGGCUGCUGAGCCACAACCCCAGCCCAGAAAUUGUGAUAUGACUUUUUAAAAAGUGCUUAAAAUGUGCCAGAAAAUAUCUCUUAGUUCUUCAAAUUCAUGGUGAAUAGUUUUACACAUCAGCUUAAAGAUGUUUGUUUCUUAAGUUCUCUUUGAGAAUAUUAAAAAAGAAAAAUAUGAAGAUGCCCGUUGCUUUUGCACCUGGGUUCCUGGGGGAGACUCUCCCCUUGAAUCUGGGCACCUUGGUGGAAAAUGUUCAGCGGUGGUGUUUGAGCAGAAUAUACUGGAUUGGGUCUGAUCCUUUUGAAUUUGAACCUACCAUGUACUAGUUUGAGUCUGCCUGGGUGACGUAUUGAGUUCUGUCACAAAGGAGUAUUGCCACUGGCAGGGCUUCUACAUCAUUGGUGAGCAGAAUUAGGAUUCCCCCUGCUCUCAAUAAAAUCCGUUUGAAUUUGAGGCCUGGGUGCUUCUGACAGUUUGGAGGCACAUCUAUUAGCUUGUCCAGGCAGUUGAGAAUCUCCCUGGGAAGAGGGAGUAUUUCCAAAUCCAGAGGUUCAGCAUUAAAGAAAAGGGAAAGGAUUAAAAAAAUCAAAGUCUGAUGGAAUGCUGUUGGUAUAUACCACAGAUGUAAAGAAGGUAAAACGUACGCAAAGAAAUUCCCUCAAAGUAAUUAUGAAUCUAGAUUGCAGACUGGGCCUGGCUCCAAAGACCAAGUUAGUAUGUGAUGCUGACUCCAGACACCAAAAACAGCUGAUUCUGGCUGCCUUGUGAUGAGCUGUCUGGCAGCCAAAUGACUGUAUAUGACAAGAAAGAGCUUUAAUUCUUAAGCCCAGGCGACUCUGCUGUCAGACACCCUCCACAGGAUAACCCUGAGAGGGGAGGAUUGUAAUGCAUUCCACUGUCAUGUAUUUAAAAAAUAAAAUCAAUUAAAUAUUUUUAAAAAGACAAUUUUCCAAAAAAGGGUAAAAUCAUAAGCCACAGGUAUCAGAUGAACACAUGCUAAAGAUUUUAUUUUACCCAUCAAUCAUUGAGGGAACCAGAUGUCAUAAUGGUUCAAAAGAGAAUUCAGUGAACAGACACUUUUAUACACUUUUAAAGUUGUGAAAUAGCUCAAAGACAUUGGACCAGGCUAGAAUCAGUAACCCAGAAGGAUGUGCUAUGUGGAAAAAGCACACAGUUGCAAAAAUAGCUCAGAGACAAAGCUUAGCAUCAGAUGGCCUGGAGGGGUGUCCAGAAGUACAGAGGCUUUUUUAUUAAAACAUUUUUUUCCCUACAAAUUUAAAAGAGGCUGUUGAACUACUGCAACACCUGGGGAGUGGCAUUGAUUUCCAAUUUAAUUAACAAGACCAGCUGUUCCAUUUAAUUUCUGGCUCCAUAAAGGCUCAUCUUUGGCCUCUUUUGGCCUCGGGUGGGAACACCUUUCAGUUAUUUCUAGUCUUGGGCUUCACCUUAAUCCACCUUUCAUGUUCCAUGGUUCCAGAUGUGGAGCACCUAUAAAAACUUAAUAUAUAGUACAUAGUGUUACAAUAUAAUAGUAUAAUAAAAAUUAUGAUAUUAAUAUAACAGUAUACAUAAGCUUUAGGUUAUGAUUUUCAAUCUAUUUUGGGGGAGUCACUUUUGUUGAAAUGUUUGUAGAAUUGAAAACUUGGGCCUUAAUGAGUUGGUUAAUCUUUCAUUUGUUGCUUUUACCCCCACCCAAUCUUUUUAAAUAGUUCCUCCAUUAAACUCUCC